rnacentral:rRNA from 1 species
UCCAGGCCCUACGGGGUGCAGCAGGCGCGAAACCUCCGCAAUGUGAGAAAUCGCGACGGGGGGAUCCCAAGUGCCAUUCUUAACGGGAUGGCUUUUCAUUAGUGUAAAGAGCUUUUGGAAUAAGAGCUGGGCAAGACCGGUGCCAGCCGCCGCGGUAACACCGGCAGCUCUAGUGGUAGCAGUUUUUAUUGGGCCUAAAGCGUCCGUAGCCGGUUUAAUAAGUCUCUGGUGAAAUCCUGCAGCUUAACUGUGGGAAUUGCUGGAGAUACUAUUAGACUUGAGAUCGGGAGAGGUUAGAGGUACUCCCAGGGUAGAGGUGAAAUUCUGUAAUCCUGGGAGGACCGCCUGUUGCGAAGGCGUCUGACUGGAACGAUUCUGACGGUGAGGGACGAAAGCUAGGGGCGCGAACCGGAUUAGAUACCCGGGUAGUCCUAGCUGUAAACGAUGCGGACUUGGUGUUGGGGUGGCUUUGAGCUGUCCCAGUGCCGAAGGGAAGCUGUUAAGUCCGCCGCCUGGGAAGUACGGUCGCAAGACUGAGACUUAAAGGAAUUGGCGGGGGAGCACCACAACGCGUGGAGCCUGCGGUUUAAUUGGAGUCAACGCCGG